UCACACGCGCGCGUUUAUAUGAAUGCGCGUUCACGAUGACGCACAACAUCGCCGCGUGUGUCUCACCAGAUCUGCUGAUCCCUGCGCGAGAAUGACUGCAUAUCUGUGCUCGUGUGUGUGAGGAUGUUCACGGGCUCGAUGGGCUGCGGGGGAAGCAGAUCCGCCGCGAUCGAACCCCGAUAUUACGAGAGCAGAGACACCGAGUCGACGUGGCUCACGAGCACGGACACGGAGACGCAACGGACAGCUGCCGGUAACGGAACCGGCGAGUGCGCGAGCGAGAAUGAGAAAACAGCAGCAGCAGCAGCAGCUGCAGCCGGAUCAGGUCAAAGAGAAGAGAAGCCCAUGACAGGGACCAGAGGCUCUUCUGCUAAGGAGAAGAAGCUGGUGAACGCCGGCACACAGUGCGGCAGACGUGCAACGCUCACCGACAGCACCCAAAGGAGACCAGCGCACAGAGACGAGGU